GAUCCUGACUCAGGAUGAACGCUGGCGGCGUGCCUAAUACAUGCAAGUCGAACGCUUCACAUUUGUGAAGAGUGGCGAACGGGUGAGUAAUACAUAAGUAACCUGGCAUCUACAGGGGGAUAACUGAUGGAAACGUCAGCUAAGACCGCAUAGGUGUAGAGAUCGCAUGAACUCUAUAUGAAAAGUGCUACGGGACUGGUAGAUGAUGGGACUUAUGGCGCAUUAG
rnacentral:rRNA from 1 species